ensembl:ncRNA T27B1.6 ncRNA
GGCAACAUUCAACUAGACGGGCGACCAGUGUCAAACUGCCAAAGGCAGCAAAAGCAGCGGGGCCAGGCCAGCAGAAGACAGCAGAAGGCAUGGAAACGAGGCGAAAAAAGGGACUGAUUUUUAUCGUCGCUGCAUGCUUCAUCAUCUUCUCCAGCUUCAUCGUCACGUCGCCCUUUUUUUCUGAAACAGGGCAGACUGCUGGCCUGCCAUGGCAAAAUGGUUCCUUUCUCUGUUAGGGAACCCAAGUCAGGCAAAAAGUG